CUACGGAGGAUCCGAGCGUUAUCCGGAUUUAUUGGGUUUAAAGGGUGCGCAGGCGGCCAUUUAAGUCAGCGGUUAAAUCGUGGGGCUCAACCCCAUUCUGCCGUUGAUACUGGGUGGCUUGAUUGCGGUCGAGGUUGGCGGAAUUCGUUGUGUAGCGGUGAAAUGCAUAGAUAUGACGAAGAACACCGAUUGCGUAGGCAGCUGACCAGACCGCAAAUGACGCUCAUGCACGAAAGUGCGGGGAUCGAACAGGAUUAGAUACCCUGGUAGUCCGCACAGUAAACGAUGAAUACUUGCUUUCGGCGAUAUAAUGUCGGAGGCAAAGCGAAAGCGAUAAGUAUUCCACCUGGGGAGUACGCCGGCAACGGUGAAACUUAAAGGAAUUGACGGGG
rnacentral:rRNA from 1 species